rnacentral:rRNA from 1 species
CAUUGUUGGAGAGUUUGAUCCUGGCUCAGGACGAACGCUGGCGGCGUGCUUAACACAUGCAAGUCGAACGAUGAAGCCGCUUCGGUGGUGGAUUAGUGGCGAACGGGUGAGUAACACGUGGGUAAUCUGCCCUGCACUCUGGGAUAAGCCUUGGAAACGGGGUCUAAUACCGGAUAU